GCUUACGGCCAUACCACCUUAGGCACGACCGAUCUCGUCUGAUCUCGGAAGCUAAGCAGGGUUGGGCCUGGUUAGUACUUGGAUGGGUCACCGCCUGGGAAUACCAGGUGCUGUAAGCA
ensembl:rRNA 5S_rRNA 5S ribosomal RNA